rnacentral:rRNA from 1 species
AUUGAACGCUGGCGGCAGGCCUAACACAUGCAAGUCGAGCGAGCGGCGGACGGGCGAGUAAUGUAUGGGGAUCUGCCUGAUCGACGGGGCAAACUAGUGGAAACGGUGGCUAAUACCGCAUACUACCCUAUGAACUCAUAGGGGAUUAGCUAGUAGGUGGGGUAAAGGCUCACAUAGGCGACGAUCGCUAGCUGGUCUGAGAGGAUGAUCGGCCACACUGGGACUGAGACACGGCCCAGACUCCUACGGGAGGCAGCAGUGGGGAAUAUUGCACAAUGGGCGCAAGCCUGACGCAGCCAUGCCGCGUGAGUGAAGAAGGCCUUAGGAUUGUAAAGUUCUGUCGGCGGGGAAGCGUUACCCACAGAAGAAGCACCGGCUAACUCCGUGCCAGCAGCCGCGGUAAUAC